UACAUAUGGGGCAAGCGUUGUUCGGAAUUACUGGGCAUAAAGGGUGCGUAGGUGGUCUAUUAAGUCAGGGUGAAAUCCCGCGGCCCAACCGUGGAACGGCCUUUGAUACUGAUGGGCUUGAGUGCGUGAGGGGUAGGGGAACGAGCAGUGUAGCGGUGAAAUGCGUAGAUAUUGCUCGGAAGGCCAGAGCCGAAGGGGCCCUACUGGUACGUAACUGACACUGAGGCACGAAAGCGUGGGGAGCAAACAGG
rnacentral:rRNA from 1 species